rnacentral:rRNA from 1 species
GGGUUAAGUCCCGUAACGAGCGCAACCCUUGUCCUUAGUUACCAGGCACGGUUAUGGUGGGCACGUCUAAGGAGACUGCCGGUGACAAACCGGAGGAAGUGGGAUGACGUCAAGUCAUCAUGGCCCUUACGGCCUGGGCUACACACGUGCUACAAUGGUCGGUACAAAGGGUUGCCAAGCCGCGAGGUGGAGCUAAUCCCAUAAACCGAUCGUAGUCCGGAUCGCAGUCUGCAACUCGACUGCGUGAAGUCGGAAUCGCUAGUAAUCGUGAAUCAGAAUGUCACGGUGAAUACGUUCCCGGGCCUU